UGUUAGUUUGAGACCAACAGAAUGAAAAGAUAAAGUGACGUGGUUUCUAGCCCAAAUCGUGAUUUUCUUAUAGAAGAGUCAGCAGAAUGUUUUUACUAAUCUUUCUUACAACUGUUGCACUCGUCUGUGCUAAUCUUUUAACCUCGCCCUCUGGAAGUAUACACAGUAAUCUUAUUGGUUUACGAGUGAAUGACGUCAUAUAUCCAGCAUCGGGAUUUUCACGUGCCCUUAAAAUCCAUGGGGACAGCAGAGAAGAGUUCAACGUGGGCAUCAAUGUCUCUUUCGUCGACAGUCAACAUUUUACAACGUUUGAAGACAACCAGAAGAAGUAUUUUAGGAAACCUCACAAGCUUUCAUUUUUAUUUUAACAAGAAUCUGCACAAAGUUUACAUUCUGUUGUACAGUUGAAUAACAAAUGCAUGAUAUGUUGCUUAUGGUGAUUUUGUAUAACAGUAAUAAAUUAUGCCUGAAUCAGUGAA